rnacentral:lncRNA from 1 species
UUUCAUGAUGAGUUCUAGAGUCACAGGCUCUGCAGUGACCAGCUGAACCAGCCAGCACUCCCUGUCCUGUCAGCUCUGCAGUUCCUCAGGUGGCCAGCCUGGCUCUGGGAUGCGGCUUCUGUGCUAAGAAAGCUAAGCCCGGCUGCCCAGCUGGACUCGGCCUUCAGCAGAGCUGGGGAGACUCCAGUGUGACUUGACUGCCUUGUAGUCAGAGUUCCCG